GACGAACGCUGGCGGCGUGCCUAAUACAUGCAAGUGGAACGCUGAAGGAGGAGCUUGCUUCUCUGGAUGAGUUGCGAACGGGUGAGUAACGCGUAGGUAACCUGCCUGGUAGCGGGGGAUAACUAUUGGAAACGAUAGCUAAUACCGCAUAAGAGUAGAUGUCGCAUGACAUUUGCUUAAAAGGUGCAAUUGCAUCACUACCAGAUGGACCUGCGUUGUAUUAGCUAGUUGGUGAGGUAACGGCUCACCAAGGCAACGAUACAUAGCCGACCUGAGAGGGUGAUCGGCCACACUGGGACUGAGACACGGCCCAGACUCCUACGGGAGGCAGCAGUAGGGAAUCUUCGGCAAUGGACGGAAGUCUGACCGAGCAACGCCGCGUGAGUGAAGAAGGUUUUCGGAUCGUAAAGCUCUGUUGUAAGAGAAGAACGAGUGUGAGAGUGGAAAGUUCACACUGUGACGGUAUCUUACCAGAAAGGGACGGCUAACUACGUG
rnacentral:rRNA from 1 species